AUAGGACAACUUUUUGGAUAUUGUUGUGGAAAGCUUUUGCGGUAUGGGAUGAGCUCGCGGCCUAUCAGCUUGUUGGUGGGGUAAUGGCCUACCAAGGCGUCGACGGGUAGCCGGCCUGAGAGGGUGUACGGCCACAUUGGGACUGAGAUACGGCCCAGACUCCUACGGGAGGCAGCAGUGGGGAAUAUUGCACAAUGGGCGCAAGCCUGAUGCAGCGACGCCGCGUGGGGGAUGAAGGCCUUCGGGUUGUAAACUCCUUUCGCUAGGGACGAAGCGCAAGUGACGGUACCUGGAGAAGAAGCACCGGCUAACUACGUGCCAGCAGCCGCGGUAAUACGUAGGGUGCGAGCGUUGUCCGGAAUUACUGGGCGUAAAGAGCUCGUAGGUGGUUUGUCGCGUCGUUUGUGUAAGUCCACAGCUUAACUGUGGGACUGCAGGCGAUACGGGCAUAACUUGAGUGCUGUAGGGGAGACUGGAAUUCCUGGUGUAGCGGUGAAAUGCGCAGAUAUCAGGAGGAACACCGAUGGCGAAGGCAG
rnacentral:rRNA from 1 species